UUGAACGCUGGCGGCAUGCUUUACACAUGCAAGUCGAACGGUAACAGGUUAAGCUGACGAGUGGCGAACGGGUGAGUAAUGCAUCGGAACGUGCCCGAUCGUGGGGGAUAACGCAGCGAAAGCUGCGCUAAUACCGCAUACGAUCUGAGGAUGAAAGCGGGGGACCGUAAGGCCUCGCGCGAUCGGAGCGGCCGAUGUCAGAUUAGGUAGUUGGUGGGGUAAAGGCUCACCAAGCCGACGAUCUGUAGCUGGUCUGAGAGGACGACCAGCCACACUGGGACUGAGACACGGCCCAGACUCCUACGGGAGGCAGCAGUGGGGAAUUUUGGACAAUGGGCGCAAGCCUGAUCCAGCCAUACCGCGUGAGUGAAGAAGGCCUUCGGGUUGUAAAGCUCUUUCAGCCGGAAAGAAAUUGCUUCUAUUAAUACUAGGAGUAGAUGACGGUACCGGAAGAAGAAGCACCGGCUAACUACGU
rnacentral:rRNA from 1 species